rnacentral:tRNA from 2 species
GUCGGGGUCGCAUAGUCUGGUAUUGCGGUAGCUUGCUAAGCUACUGGGCGCGAGCCCACGCGGGUUCAAAUCCCGCCCCCGACG